GACGAACGCUGGCGGCGUGCUUAACACAUGCAAGUCGAGCGGGUAAGGCCCUUUCGGGGGUACACGAGCGGCGAACGGGUGAGUAACACGUGGGUGACCUGCCCUUAGCUCUGGGAUAAGCCUGGGAAACUGGGUCUAAUACCGGAUAUGACUCCAUGACGCAUGUUGUGGGGUGGAAAGCCUUGUGCGGCUAGGGAUGGGCCCGCGGCCUAUCAGCUUGUUGGUGGGGUGAUGGCCUACCAAGGCGACGACGGGUAGCCGGCCUGAGAGGGCGACCGGCCACACUGGGACUGAGACACGGCCCAGACUCCUACGGGAGGCAGCAGGUGGGGAAUCUUGCGCAAUGGGCGAAAGCCUGACGCAGCGACGCCGCGUGA
rnacentral:rRNA from 1 species